rnacentral:rRNA from 1 species
GAACCUGACACUAGUACGAGAGGACCGUGUUGGACAGACCUCUAGUGUACCUGUUGUAGCGCCAGCUGCACCGCAGGGUAGCUAUGUCUGGAAGAGAUAAGUGCUGAAAGCAUCUAAGUACGAAGCUCAUCUCAAGAUGAGAUCUCCCUUAAGGGUCGUUGAAGAUGACAACGUUGAUAGGCUGCAGGUGUAAAGACGGUAACGCCAAAGCUGAGCAGUACUAAUUACCCGUGAGCUUUCUGAGU